UACAGAGGUCUCAAGCGUUGUUCGGAUUCAUUGGGCGUAAAGGGUGCGUAGGUGGUCGUUUAAGUCCGUUGUGAAAUCCCUGGGCUCAACCUGGGAAUGGCAGUGGAUACUGGACGGCUAGAAUGCGGUAGAGGGUAGUGGAAUUCCCGGUGUAGCAGUGAAAUGCGUAGAGAUCGGGAGGAACACCAGUGGCGAAGGCGGCUACCUGGACCAGCAUUGACACUCAAGCACGAAAGCGUGGGGAGCAAACAGG
rnacentral:rRNA from 1 species